UUAAGCGACUAAGCGUACACGGUGGAUGCCCUGGCAGUCAGAGGCGAUGAAGGACGUGCUAAUCUGCGAUAAGCGUCGGUAAGGUGAUAUGAACCGUUAUAACCGGCGAUUUCCGAAUGGGGAAACCCAGUGUGUUUCGACACACUAUCAUUAACUGAAUCCAUAGGUUAAUGAGGCGAACCGGGGGAACUGAAACAUCUAAGUACCCCGAGGAAAAGAAAUCAACCGAGAUUCCCCCAGUAGCGGCGAGCGAACGGGGAGCAGCCCAGAGCCUGAAUCAGUGUGUGUGUUAGUGGAAGCGUCUGGAAAGGCGCGCGAUACAGGGUGACAGCCCCGUACACAAAAAUGCACAUAUUGUGAGCUCGAUGAGUAGGGCGGGACACGUGGUAUCCUGUCUGAAUAUGGGGGGACCAUCCUCCAAGGCUAAAUACUCCUGACUGACCGAUAGUGAACCAGUACCGUGAGGGAAAGGCGAAAAGAACCCCGGCGAGGGGAGUGAAAAAGAACCUGAAACCGUGUACGUACAAGCAGUGGGAGCACGCUUAGGCGUGUGACUGCGUACCUUUUGUAUAAUGGGUCAGCGACUUAUAUUCUGUAGCAAGGUUAACCGAAUAGGGGAGCCGAAGGGAAACCGAGUCUUAACUGGGCGUUAAGUUGCAGGGUAUAGACCCGAAACCCGGUGAUCUAGCCAUGGGCAGGUUGAAGGUUGGGUAACACUAACUGGAGGACCGAACCGACUAAUGUUGAAAAAUUAGCGGAUGACUUGUGGCUGGGGGUGAAAGGCCAAUCAAACCGGGAGAUAGCUGGUUCUCCCCGAAAGCUAUUUAGGUAGCGCCUCGUGAAUUCAUCUCCGGGGGUAGAGCACUGUUUCGGCAAGGGGGUCAUCCCGACUUACCAACCCGAUGCAAACUGCGAAUACCGGAGAAUGUUAUCACGGGAGACACACGGCGGGUGCUAACGUCCGUCGUGAAGAGGGAAACAACCCAGACCGCCAGCUAAGGUCCCAAAGUCAUGGUUAAGUGGGAAACGAUGUGGGAAGGCCCAGACAGCCAGGAUGUUGGCUUAGAAGCAGCCAUCAUUUAAAGAAAGCGUAAUAGCUCACUGGUCGAGUCGGCCUGCGCGGAAGAUGUAACGGGGCUAAACCAUGCACCGAAGCUGCGGCAGCGACGCUGAUGCGUUGUUGGGUAGGGGAGCGUUCUGUAAGCCUGCGAAGGUGUGCUGUGAGGCAUGCUGGAGGUAUCAGAAGUGCGAAUGCUGACAUAAGUAACGAUAAAGCGGGUGAAAAGCCCGCUCGCCGGAAGACCAAGGGUUCCUGUCCAACGUUAAUCGGGGCAGGGUGAGUCGACCCCUAAGGCGAGGCCGAAAGGCGUAGUCGAUGGGAAACAGGUUAAUAUUCCUGUACUUGGUGUUACUGCGAAGGGGGGACGGAGAAGGCUAUGUUGGCCGGGCGACGGUUGUCCCGGUUUAAGCGUGUAGGCUGGUUUUCCAGGCAAAUCCGGAAAAUCAAGGCUGAGGCGUGAUGACGAGGCACUACGGUGCUGAAGCAACAAAUGCCCUGCUUCCAGGAAAAGCCUCUAAGCAUCAGGUAACAUCAAAUCGUACCCCAAACCGACACAGGUGGUCAGGUAGAGAAUACCAAGGCGCUUGAGAGAACUCGGGUGAAGGAACUAGGCAAAAUGGUGCCGUAACUUCGGGAGAAGGCACGCUGAUAUGUAGGUGAAGUCCCUUGCGGAUGGAGCUGAAAUCAGUCGAAGAUACCAGCUGGCUGCAACUGUUUAUUAAAAACACAGCACUGUGCAAACACGAAAGUGGACGUAUACGGUGUGACGCCUGCCCGGUGCCGGAAGGUUAAUUGAUGGGGUCAGCGCAAGCGAAGCUCUUGAUCGAAGCCCCGGUAAACGGCGGCCGUAACUAUAACGGUCCUAAGGUAGCGAAAUUCCUUGUCGGGUAAGUUCCGACCUGCACGAAUGGCGUAAUGAUGGCCAGGCUGUCUCCACCCGAGACUCAGUGAAAUUGAACUCGCUGUGAAGAUGCAGUGUACCCGCGGCAAGACGGAAAGACCCCGUGAACCUUUACUAUAGCUUGACACUGAACAUUGAGCCUUGAUGUGUAGGAUAGGUGGGAGGCUUGGAAGUGUGGACGCCAGUCUGCAUGGAGCCGACCUUGAAAUACCACCCUUUAAUGUUUGAUGUUCUAACGUUGACCCGUGAUCCGGGUUGCGGACAGUGUCUGGUGGGUAGUUUGACUGGGGCGGUCUCCUCCUAAAGAGUAACGGAGGAGCACGAAGGUUGGCUAAUCCUGGUCGGACAUCAGGAGGUUAGUGCAAUGGCAUAAGCCAGCUUGACUGCGAGCGUGACGGCGCGAGCAGGUGCGAAAGCAGGUCAUAGUGAUCCGGUGGUUCUGAAUGGAAGGGCCAUCGCUCAACGGAUAAAAGGUACUCCGGGGAUAACAGGCUGAUACCGCCCAAGAGUUCAUAUCGACGGCGGUGUUUGGCACCUCGAUGUCGGCUCAUCACAUCCUGGGGCUGAAGUAGGUCCCAAGGGUAUGGCUGUUCGCCAUUUAAAGUGGUACGCGAGCUGGGUUUAGAACGUCGUGAGACAGUUCGGUCCCUAUCUGCCGUGGGCGCUGGAGAACUGAGGGGGGCUGCUCCUAGUACGAGAGGACCGGAGUGGACGCAUCACUGGUGUUCGGGUUGUCAUGCCAAUGGCACUGCCCGGUAGCUAAAUGCGGAAGAGAUAAGUGCUGAAAGCAUCUAAGCACGAAACUUGCCCCGAGAUGAGUUCUCCCUGACCCUUUAAGGGUCCUGAAGGAACGUUGAAGACGACGACGUUGAUAGGCCGGGUGUGUAAGCGCAGCGAUGCGUUGAGCUAACCGGUACUAAUGAACCGUGAGGCUUAACCUU
rnacentral:rRNA from 1 species